UAGGGAAUCUUCCACAAUGGACGCAAGUCUGAUGGAGCAACGCCGCGUGAGUGAAGAAGGUUUUCGGAUCGUAAAGCUCUGUUGUUGCUGAAGAAGGAUAGAGGCAGUAACUGGUCUUUAUUUGACGGUAAUCAACCAGAAAGUCACGGCUAACUACGUGCCAGCAGCCGCGGUAAUACGUAGGUGGCAAGCGUUGUCCGGAUUUAUUGGGCGUAAAGCGAGCGCAGGCGGAAUGAUAAGUCUGAUGUGAAAGCCCACGGCUCAACCGUGGAACUGCAUCGGAAACUGUCAUUCUUGAGUGCAGAAGAGGAGAGUGGAAUUCCAUGUGUAGCGGUGGAAUGCGUAGAUAUAUGGAAGAACACCAGUGGCGAAGGCGGCUCUCUGGUCUGCAACUGACGCUGAGGCUCGAAAGCAUGGGUAGCGAACAGG
rnacentral:rRNA from 1 species